GCGGAUGUGGCGGAACUGGCAGACGCGCUAGACUUAGGAUCUAGUAUCGAAAGAUGUGGGGGUUCGAUUCCUCUCAUCCGCACCA
rnacentral:tRNA from 2 species